rnacentral:rRNA from 1 species
AUUGAACGCUGGCGGCAUGCUUUACACAUGCAAGUCGAACGGCAGCGCGGGCUUCGGCCUGGCGGCGAGUGGCGAACGGGUGAGUAAUGCAUCGGAACGUGCCCAGUAGUGGGGGAUAGCCCGGCGAAAGCCGGAUUAAUACCGCAUACGACCUGAGGGUGAAAGCGGGGGACCGAAAGGCCUCGCGCUAUUGGAGCGGCCGAUGUCGGAUUAGCUAGUUGGUGGGGUAAAGGCUUACCAAGGCGACGAUCCGUAGCUGGUCUGAGAGGACGACCAGCCACAGUGGGACUGAGACACGGCCCAGACUCCUACGGGAGGCAGCAGUGGGGAAUUUUGGACAAUGGGGGCAACCCUGAUCCAGCCAUGCCGCGUGCGGGAAGAAGGCCUUCGGGUUGUAAACCGCUUUUGUUCGGGAAGAAAUCCUCUGGGCUAAUACCCCGGGGGGAUGACGGUACCGGAAGAAUAAGCACCGGCUAACUACGU